UAAUGGUCAGGGCACACAAUGAUGUUGGGAAUUUACAGUGGUAAAAAAGGGAGAUUGACAUAAACCCUUCUGGAACAAGGUGAAUGAUAUCAGGAUGAGUGACACAGGAGAAGGGUUGGGAGAACUUAAAGAGAAAUUAUUCUAUUUCAGGGGAGAAAUGAAUUCGGGGCCAACCACUGGCACAAAUAAUUAACAUCAAUUAAACAUUUAACAAUAAAAACACACCACCAAAACAGAUACUCCUGGAGAAAUAUACGCCUCAUUUGACACACACAAAUACCUGGAUAGAUGAUCUUGGAAAAGAUGAGGCUUGGAAAAAUGACCUGGAUAGAGAUCAUGGCUUGGGUUGGUUCUGCAGCCACACAGCCUCACUUUCCUUGGUGCACACAGAUGCUCAGCAGAAUGGAGAGGCAGUGCCUGGGUUUCUCUUCUUUUGAGAAAGCGGUCUCCACUUCAGAGGAUCCACACUUGCCAUCAGCCAUGAGAAGCUGGACUCCUCUACCCAAGACUUCAAAAACCCCUUAGCAGCAUUUUCAGAAGAGACUUGAGUUGGUGCCUUCAUCAUUUUGUGCUGGCAGAAGGUGGGAACAUGACAGGCCUUGGCAGCAGAUUUUCUUUCUGCUGCACCCAAAGGCGCUGUGGAAGCAGAUCCUUCCCAGGCUGAUUUCCUCAAAGCACUGUUUUGUACCUGCGAGUCCUGAAACAGAGAUUGGGGUGGUCAGUAGUGGUGAUUCAAAUGUCAGGGGACACCCCCUUUUAAACAGAGUGGAAACACCUUCAGAAAUCUGGCUUUCUCCUGGAGAAGUCAGGACUUCAGGUGGUUGAUGAGAAAACCUGAGCAGAGAGCCAAUGACCAAGUCUAAAUGACGGAUAUUUCCUUCUCUGAAACCUGUCCUGCCGCUGUGAGCUCAGAAAGCUCAGAAAGCUCAGCCUGCACCACACACUCGGGGUGCACAAGGUGACACUGGCAGCCAGAAAGUGUCUGAAAGCAAGAUGAAAACUCAGUUUGCUGGGAACAUCUUUGUCAACAUCAAGAUUCCCAAAAUAAAGCUAGAGUUCAGGAAGGGUCAGGGAGAAAAAGUAGCAAAAUGCCAGCAAAACUGGGAAAUGCUAUCAAAGCAUCUGACAAGCUCAGCAAAUACCAGAAUUGCCUCUCCAGUGAAGUUUAAUUAAAAAGUCUAUUGUUUCCAUUAUUGCUUAAUGAUUCCUCAAAAAGUAGAACAAAAGUUUAUUUUAGAGGUUAAUU